ensembl:lncRNA
CACCUAUUGCUUUUUAUUUUUAGAAUGUAACUCCCGCAAUAAACGAGGGAACACUAUAUGUGUAAUAAUGUGAAAAGACACAGGGAGAAAGUAUUGUACAGGGAAGGUGCAAAAAGCCAUGGAAAUUCAUGACAUCAGCUGAAAUCUAUCAGUAAUUAGAAAGCAGUCCUGCCACUUAGUGCAAAUGAACAUCAGCUGCUUCAGUUCCAACUGAUGGCCUGUAAAUGGUGCGACAUUACCAAGGUGUUGCACAAGAAACAUCUCACGACGGUGUUGGAUCUAUAACUGGGAAGUGGGAAGACAUCAUUUCACCAUAAACUGGCUGUGACCAGAUCCUCCCAGCCAUAUUUCAGACAGAGGAGUGAAUAGAACUCUCAGUUAUCCAAGAGCCAAGGAGCACUUGUGGAGAGCUGCAGAAAUACCUGGAAUCCGCAGGUAGUGAUCAUCGUGUCUUUCAGGCUUUGGCUGAUGGGAGGAUCCAUGCCGCUUUUUUUCUGAACAAGACAAUCCAGCGUCCUUUUCACCUCAUUUUCUCACCAG